rnacentral:rRNA from 1 species
CCUACGGGCGGCAGCAGUGGGGAAUAUUGGACAAUGGGGGCAACCCUGAUCCAGCCAUGCCGCGUGUGUGAAGAAGGCCCUCGGGUUGUAAAGCACUUUCAGUGAGGAAGAACGCCUGGUGGUUAAUACCCAUCAGGAAAGACAUCACUCACAGAAGAAGCACCGGCUAACUCCGUGCCAGCAGCCGCGGUAAUACGGAGGGUGCGAGCGUUAAUCGGAAUUACUGGGCGUAAAGCGCGCGUAGGUGGCUUGAUAAGCCGGUUGUGAAAGCCCCGGGCUCAACCUGGGAACGGCAUCCGGAACUGUCAAGCUAGAGUGCAGGAGAGGAAGGUAGAAUUCCCGGUGUAGCGGUGAAAUGCGUAGAGAUCGGGAGGAAUACCAGUGGCGAAGGCGGCCUUCUGGACUGACACUGACACUGAGGUGUGAAAGCGUGGGUAGCAAACAGGAUUAGAUACCCGAGUAGUC